rnacentral:rRNA from 1 species
ACGGGAGGCAGCAGUGGGGAAUAUUGGGCAAUGGGCGAAAGCCUGACCCAGCAACGCCGCGUGAAGGAAGAAGGUCUUCGGAUUGUAAACUUCUUUUAUGAGGGACGAAGGACGUGACGGUUCCUCAUGAAUAAGCCACGGCUAACUACGUGCCAGCAGCCGCGGUAAUACGUAGGUGGCAAGCGUUAUCCGGAUUUACUGGGUGUAAAGGGCGCGUAGGCGGGGAUGCAAGUCAGGUGUGAAAUCUAUGGGCUUAACUCAUAAACUGCACUUGAAACUGUGUCUCUUGAGUGCUGGAGAGGUAGACGGAAUUCCUUGUGUAGCGGUGAAAUGUGUAGAUGUAAGGAAGAACGCCAGUGGCGAAGGCGGUCUACUGGACAGUAACUGACGCUGAGGCGCGAAAGCGUGGGGAGCAAACAGGAUUAGAUACCCUGGUA